UAGAUUCAAAUCGAUCUUGAACCCGAAACCAAAAUCAAUUCUUAAACUAAAUCCCUCAUUUCCGGUUUCCCCCAUUUCUCACUGUUCACGCCGCCAGCAACCCAGAGCAUCCCACAGCGUCCAGCACAGCAGCGAACGGCCACCAACAAGCCGCGAGAGUCCAAAACCGCGAGCGUGAAGUGUUCAGCCACCCACCAUCUCCCGACCCGCAGCACAGUCGCGCGACGCUGCAGCAGCAACCACUCAAUGCGCGUGAGGCAGCAGCACCGAUAUGUUCCAACGCGACCCAAACCAGUGCCGACGUGAUUCAAACCAACAAGCCAUCACCAACUCCGAUACUCCACCUCAAUUAAGGAUCAAUUUUUUUAUUGUAUAAUAUCAUGCCUAAAUAUAUGUAAUUGGCUAAUUUGGUGAAGAGUAUUGUGAAGAAUUUUUUGUUUUUGAGCUAUGAAGAAUAUCGUGAACUGCUGUACCGUACAUCCGCCUUGGCCGUACAGCAGUCUUAAUGUCUUAUACUCAUAAUUUUCAAUGAUUUGAAAUAUUUAUAAGUGAGUUCAUUUGAAAUGCGUAUAAUAGUCUAUUUAUAAACUAUUCAUAAAUGUUCAACAAACCCUUUAUACAUACAUGACACUUAUGUUAUAAGGAAAGUUACGUCUUUCGAGAAUUAGUCAUAUCUCUUAGUGAAGUUAUAAUUAAUUUAAAAUGUAUUAACUUAAUCUAAGAGAUACAUCUCUUUAGGGAUGACAAUAAACUCUAGAUCUGGUCCAGAUCUGCAAAGAUCCAGAAGAUCUGGAUCCAGGGAAAACUAAAUCUGCAUGUUAAAAAACGCGGAUCUUAAAAAUCAAGAUCUGUGCGGAUUCGGAAAUGGAUCCAAGUACAUCCGAAAAAUCGGAUAUCCGGAUCCGUAUUAUUUUGUAAUUAAAUUAUUUAUUUAAUUAAAUUUCAAUUGAAAAUAUAUAUAAAUUAAAUUAUUUAUUUAAUAUGUAUGAGUAUAAUUAACUCUAUAAUCUUCAUUGACUAUGAAAAAUAUGUUAAAAAACUAAAAAAAGAUAAUAAUAAUAAUAAUUAGAGAAUGUUGUAAUGAAUCGGUUUACCUUAGAUUUUUUUUAUUUUUUUUAUGUUUGAUUCAUGUUGUGAAAUUAUUGUUUGUCAAUUUAUGGUGUUGUUGUACGUUAUUUAUUUUGAAUUGAUGUUAAAUUGUUGAUUGUUAAAUUAUAAUUUAAUUUUAUUUGAUAUUAUUAGAUAAAUUAUUUAAUAUAAAUUAUAUUUUAAUUUAUUAUUAUUCAUAUUCGGAUAUCCAAAAAAUCUACCCGCGAUCUGUGCGGAUAUUACCCGCAUCCGAAUCGUCUUUUUUUUUUUUUAUUACGGAUCCGGAAGUGCAUCCGAAUCCGGAACCGAAUUUUGCCAUCCUUAUUCCCUAUGAGUAAGUAUGUUCAUAAUAAAGAUGUUCCAGUAUUGAAUACAAAGUACAGAAUUUCAACUUAGAAAGUUGUAACAAUAAAUCUCCCGAAGCAAAGGACCGUCGAGAAAACUGAGAGAUUCCAACACAAAAACUUGAUGAAUGACUUCAAUUUGAGCAACGCAAUUAACUGAUAGUAAUAAGCAGAUGCAGAUAUCUGUCCGAGUUGCAGGUUGAAUAGCUUCAUCUUUACAUUUUCUUACAAAAAUCUGUGGGGUUGAACAUGGUCAGACCAAAAGAGAACAAAAUAUAUAGCAUAAUAAUUAAAGCAUCAUGUGGCUGAAGGAAGGAGAGCCAAUGGUACUCGCAGCCUAUUCCUCCACGGCAUGCCUGUUCUAUUGCCUUUAUAUUUUUCCCGUUGAUGCUUUUCAUUUAACCAAUUGCAACCCAGCCUUCUCUGCCUCUCACACUUUGUAAUCAACGCUCGCGGUUCUUACUUCAUUUUCUCAACUUCCUAUUCCUGGCUCAAAUCUUUGAAAAAGGAGGGAAAAAAAAAAAGAAAAAGAUCUUUCAUGAUAGGGAGGUUGUCAGAAAUUUUUUUCAUCUGAGACUAGGGGUGACAGAAAAGCCUAAGCCGGCCCAAGUUCGGACUUAUCCGGCCCAGGCCCGCGGCUAAAAUCAUGAAAAGGGCUCAUAAUUUGUAAAGCCCAUAUAUAAUGGGCUCAGUCAAAAACUUUACUUAAAAGCCUAAACUUAAGUCCGAGCUUUAUAAUGAAUUAUAUAUAUAUUUUUUAAAUCCAAAACUUUAUACAUAUUAUAAACUGAAAAAUUAAAAGAAAAAACAAGUACGGUACAGCAGUAAAUUAUAUUUAAAUUUAUUAUUAUUCAUAUUCGGAUAUCCAAAAAAUCUACCCGCGAUCUGUGCGGAUAUUACCCGCAUCCGAAUCGUCUUUUUUUUUUUUUAUUACGGAUCCGGAAGUGCAUCCGAAUCCGGAACCGAAUUUUGCCAUCCUUAUUCCCUAUGAGUAAGUAUGUUCAUAAUAAAGAUGUUCCAGUAUUGAAUACAAAGUACAGAAUUUCAACUUAGAAAGUUGUAACAAUAAAUCUCCCGAAGCAAAGGACCGUCGAGAAAACUGAGAGAUUCCAACACAAAAACUUGAUGAAUGACUUCAAUUUGAGCAACGCAAUUAACUGAUAGUAAUAAGCAGAUGCAGAUAUCUGUCCGAGUUGCAGGUUGAAUAGCUUCAUCUUUACAUUUUCUUACAAAAAUCUGUGGGGUUGAACAUGGUCAGACCAAAAGAGAACAAAAUAUAUAGCAUAAUAAUUAAAGCAUCAUGUGGCUGAAGGAAGGAGAGCCAAUGGUACUCGCAGCCUAUUCCUCCACGGCAUGCCUGUUCUAUUGCCUUUAUAUUUUUCCCGUUGAUGCUUUUCAUUUAACCAAUUGCAACCCAGCCUUCUCUGCCUCUCACACUUUGUAAUCAACGCUCGCGGUUCUUACUUCAUUUUCUCAACUUCCUAUUCCUGGCUCAAAUCUUUGAAAAAGGAGGGAAAAAAAAAAAGAAAAAGAUCUUUCAUGAUAGGGAGGUUGUCAGAAAUUUUUUUCAUCUGAGACUAGGGGUGACAGAAAAGCCUAAGCCGGCCCAAGUUCGGACUUAUCCGGCCCAGGCCCGCGGCUAAAAUCAUGAAAAGGGCUCAUAAUUUGUAAAGCCCAUAUAUAAUGGGCUCAGUCAAAAACUUUACUUAAAAGCCUAAACUUAAGUCCGAGCUUUAUAAUGAAUUAUAUAUAUAUUUUUUAAAUCCAAAACUUUAUACAUAUUAUAAACUGAAAAAUUAAAAGAAAAAACAAAACGGAAUACUAGAUUCAAAUCGAUCUUGAACCCGAAACCAAAAUCAAUUCUUAAACUAAAUCCCUCAUUUCCGGUUUCCCCCAUUUCUCACUGUUCACGCCGCCAGCAACCCAGAGCAUCCCACAGCGUCCAGCACAGCAGCGAACGGCCACCAACAAGCCGCGAGAGUCCAAAACCGCGAGCGUGAAGUGUUCAGCCACCCACCAUCUCCCGACCCGCAGCACAGUCGCGCGACGCUGCAGCAGCAACCACUCAAUGCGCGUGAGGCAGCAGCACCGAUAUGUUCCAACGCGACCCAAACCAGUGCCGACGUGAUUCAAACCAACAAGCCAUCACCAACUCCGAUACUCCACCUCAAUUAAGGAUCAAUUUUUUUAUUGUAUAAUAUCAUGCCUAAAUAUAUGUAAUUGGCUAAUUUGGUGAAGAGUAUUGUGAAGAAUUUUUUGUUUUUGAGCUAUGAAGAAUAUCGUGAAGAAUUUAGGAUGGUUGUUGAUUAAUGUAGAAAAUGUUGAAGAAUAUUGUGCUUGGUUAAUGAUUUUGAGUUGUGUUGUUGGUUUUGUUGUUGAUUGUUGGUUGUUGGUUUGCAAAUUUGGGGCUUUUGUUUUUCAAUCAAUU
rnacentral:lncRNA from 1 species